UCGGAUUUCCCUUUGUUUGGCUUUGUAGUUCUGUAUGUUCCUUUCUUUAAUAAUGAACUAAUAUCUGUAGCACUAAGCGCUCCACCUGUGUCAUGCUCUUCAGACAUUUUGCCUCCGUGUGGGUCUUUGUUCCUCGUAAGAACCACGUGAGAAUUUACGUUAUUUUGAGUUGUUCGUGUUGCUUUUGUGCAGCAGAUAAAUAAUAUUUUAUUUCUUUUUAACAAUUUAAUUUUAAGAUAUUUCCAUUUUGCGGGAGUCCCGCAAAUAAUUUUAUUCUCCCGCAACCCGCACACACCAGGACCUUACCGCCCGCACCCGCGUUCACAUAUCAAAUUUCGUCCCGCGCCGCACUGGGUUGCGUCGGGUCCCGCGGGUCUCGUACUCCCGCGGGAUUGCAGGUCUCUACUUCCUAGUUCUACUAAGGACUCUAGCUGUUUUGGACCAGCUGAAGUUUAUCAAGAGUGCAGAACAACCACCCAAUAAAGCAUUACAAUAAUCUAACCUAGAGGUAAUAAACAAAUGAAUUAACUUUUCUGCAUUUGAUGUUGAGAGCAUUUGUUUUCCCCCUCCUUUCUUAAUUGUAAAGAAGCAACUUGUGGCGAUACGGAAAAAAAUCUGUACCGGAUCUUUCACCUUGCCCUCAAUUAUGCGGAGGAUAACGUAAGACAAUUAUAUAAAAGGCGAGGAAUAAAGUGAGUGCGUGUGUUAGAAGGAAUUUGGUUCAUUUAAUUUGCUGUUGCAGUUUAUGUACUGGCCUUUUCUUAUGCAUAGACCGGUGCGAUCGCCAAAGAAACCACGACAGAAUUGGUUCCGCAUGAUUUGCCAAUUGCAACAGAAUCCCAGACGAGUUACCUGCAGGUAUUUCUUAUUUUAAAGUUAUUCCAUGUGAACCACGCCAGUCCUUCAGAUUUUCUAACUCUUGCAUGAUUAUUGUCUAUUUUGCAGUUGUUUGGCCAUCCCUCAAGCCGAGUGCUUCACACAGGCAAUACGCACCGAACACACGCAUACAUUGAUGGGGCUCCCGCUUAUCAGUUGAAAGAGUUGCUGGACUAAAGACGAAGAAGCGGUCAGUUCCAAUAUUUGGUGGACUGGGAGGGUUAUGAACCCGAGGAGAGAUCAUGGGUACCCGCACAAGACAUUCUGGAUUCAAGUCUGAUCGAAGAGUUUCAUAGAGCCAGAGCCAGACCCGACCAACCAGCACCACGACCACGAGGACGACCACGUCAAGCUCCAGGAGUCGCUCCUAGAGGGGGUUCUGUAACAACUAGCCAGCAGUGGGAGCCCUCGCCUGAGUACUAGGUGUGCUCACACCCUCUGUUUCUUCUCUGGUUAUAAAGCCCACAAAAAGGAAACAGUCAGAGGCCCUCCAUGUGUUCAGUGCGAAUUAUUGCCAGUUUUUCUGCCUUACUGAGUGUUGUAGUUGGGAUUUUCUGAUUGCCUGUUCUGUGUAUGAGUUUGCCUGUUUCAUGUUUCUUGGACCUGCCCUUUUUUAUUGUUUGCCUGGUGUGGGCAGUUGGGAUGUUCUGGACUCAACCCAUUGCCUGUCUUCUGACUAUUGUUUACUGGAUUACCCCUGUACUUGGUGAAAGAUUGGACUGCCUAUUUAUUACUAACCACCCGCCUGUCUUGACGUUUCUGAUUGCUGCUUGUAAUUUAAAUAAACAGCUCCAUAUAGAUUCAA